GCCAGUGUGAUGAAAUUGGUAGACAUGACGGAUUCAAAAUCCGUUGCCUUUGCGGGCGUGCGAGUUCGAGUCUCGCCACUGGUACCA
rnacentral:tRNA from 1 species